rnacentral:tRNA from 1 species
GCCGAGGUGGCGGAAUUGGUAGACGCACUGGUCUUAGGAACCAGCGCCUUCGGGCAUGGGGGUUCGACUCCCCCCUUCGGCACCA